UUGAACUCAGGACCUCUGGAAGAGCA
rnacentral:piRNA from 2 species